CCUACGGGAGGCAGCAGUGAGGAAUAUUGGUCAAUGGACGAGAGUCUGAACCAGCCAAGUAGCGUGAAGGAUGACUGCCCUAUGGGUUGUAAACUUCUUUUAUAUGGGAAUAAAAUGUUCCACGUGUGGGAUUUUGUAUGUAUCAUAUGAAUAAGGAUUGGCUAACUCUGUGCCAGCAGCCGCGGUAAUACGGAGGAUCCGAGCGUUAUCAGGAUUUAUUGGGAUUAACGGGAGCGUAGGUGGGUUGGUAAGUCAGUUGUGAAAGUUUGCGGCCCAACCGUAAAAUUGCAGUUGAAACUGGCAGUCUUGAGGACAGUAGAGGUGGGCGGAAUUCGUGGUGUAGCGGUGAAAUGCUUAGAGAUCACGAAGAAUUCCGAUUGCGAAGGCGGUUCACUAGACUACAACUGACACUGAGGCUCGAAAGUGUGGGGAUCAAACAGGAUUAGAUACCCGGGUAGUC
rnacentral:rRNA from 1 species